AGGCUCAGAAGGUAGACUACACACAGACUAUAGACUAUAUCACAGGCUCAGAAGGUAGACUACACACAGACUAUAGACUAUAUCACAGGCUCAGAAGGUAGACUACACACAGACUAUAGACUAUAUCACAGGCUCAGAAGGUAGACUACACACAGACUAUAGACUAUAUCACAGGCUCAGAAGGUAGACUACACACAGACUAUAGACUAUAUCACAGGCUCAGAAGGUAGACUACACACAGACUAUAGACUAUAUCACAGGCUCAGAAGGUAGACUACACACAGACUAUAGACUAUAUCACAGGCUCAGAAGGUAGACUACACACAGACUAUAGACUAUAUCACAGGCUCAGAAGGUAGACUACACACAGACUAUAGACUAUAUCACAGGCUCAGAAGGUAGACUACACACAGACUAUAGACUAUAUCACAGGCUCAGAAGGUAGACUACACACAGACUAUAGACUAUAUCACAGGCUCAGAAGGUAGACUACACACAGACUAUAGACUAUAUCACAGGCUCAGAAGGUAGACUACACACAGACUAUAGACUAUAUCACAGGCUCAGAAGGUAGACUACACACAGACUAUAGACUAUAUCACAGGCUCAGAAGGUAGACUACACACAGACUAUAGACUAUAUCACAGGCUCAGAAGGUAGACUACACACAGACUAUAGACUAUAUCACAGGCUCAGAAGGUAGACUACACACAGACUAUAGACUAUAUCACAGGCUCAGAAGGUAGACUACACACAGACUAUAGACUAUAUCACAGGCUCAGAAGGUAGACUACACACAGACUAUAGACUAUAUCACAGGCUCAGAAGGUAGACUACACACAGACUAUAGACUAUAUCACAGGCUCAGAAGGUAGACUACACACAGACUAUAGACUAUAUCACAGGCUCAGAAGGUAGACUACACACAGACUAUAGACUAUAUCACAGGCUCAGAAGGUAGACUACACACAGACUAUAGACUAUAUCACAGGCUCAGAAGGUAGACUACACACAGACUAUAGACUAUAUCACAGGCUCAGAAGGUAGACUACACACAGACUAUAGACUAUAUCACAGGCUCAGAAGGUAGACUACACACAGACUAUAGACUAUAUCACAGGCUCAGAAGGUAGACUACACACAGACUAUAGACUAUAUCACAGGCUCAGAAGGUAGACUACACACAGACUAUAGACUAUAUCACAG